GUGCUCGCUUUGGCAGCACAUAUAAGUGGACAGACACGGGGAAGAUCAGCAUGGUCCCUGCACAAGGACGACAUGCAAAUUCAUGAAGCGUUCUUUAUUUUU